UGGGGAAUAUUGGACAAUGGGCGAAAGCCUGAUCCAGCCAUGCCGCGUGUGUGAAGAAGGUCUUCGGAUUGUAAAGCACUUUAAGUCGGGAGGAAGGGCAGUUACCUAAUACGUGAUUGUUUUGACGUUACCGACAGAAUAAGCACCGGCUAACUCUGUGCCAGCAGCCGCGGUAAUACAGAGGGUGCAAGCGUUAAUCGGAAUUACUGGGCGUAAAGCGCGCGUAGGUGGUUAGUUAAGUUGGAUGUGAAAUCCCCGGGCUCAACCUGGGAACUGCAUUCAAAACUGACUGACUAGAGUAUGGUAGAGGGUGGUGGAAUUUCCUGUGUAGCGGUGAAAUGCGUAGAUAUAGGAAGGAACACCAGUGGCGAAGGCGACCACCUGGACUGAUACUGACACUGAGGUGCGAAAGCGUGGGGAGCAAACAGGAUUAGAUACCCAAGUAGUCCCUGAGCGGGCUGGCAAGGCGCAU
rnacentral:rRNA from 1 species